rnacentral:rRNA from 1 species
CCUACGGGUGGCAGCAGUAGGGAAUAUUGCUCAAUGGGGGAAACCCUGAAGCAGCAACGCCGCGUGGGGGAUGAAGGUAUUAGGUAUGUAAAAUCCUUUUGGUAGGGAAGAUAAUGACGGUAUCUAACGAAGAAGCACCGGCUAACUCCGUGCCAGCAGCCGCGGUAAUACGGAGGGUGCAAGCGUUACUCGGAAUCACUGGGCGUAAAGGGUGCGUAGGCGGGGGAAUAAGUCAGAAGUGAAAGGCUGUAGCUUAACUACAGAACUGCAUUUGAAACUGUUACUCUGGAGUGGAGGAGAGGUAGGUGGAAUUCGUGGUGUAGGGGUGAAAGCCGUAGAGAUCAAGAGGAAUACUAAUUGCGAAGGCGACCUGCUGGAACAUCACUGACGCUGAGGCACGAAAGCGUGGGGAGCAAACAGGAUUAGAUACCCUUGUAGUC